CGGGAGGGAGGGCGCGUUCACUGCAAGAAAUGUCGCUCGCUCGCUCGCUCGCUCGCCCGAAGGCUAAAAAUAAUGUUUGUCAUACCGAAAGUGCUUUCUGGUUAAUCAAUUGCCGGCGGGACGCAACGUAACUUCCGGCACAACACAACAACACGACUUCACUGUAAAGUUAUUCGGAACAAGUUGGCACACACAAACGUGGAGCUGGACGUGCUGAUUGAUGUCACUUCCAUGUAUGGGCAUAGCCACGUGACAUCUAUCUUUGCACUUGCGAGCUCCAUCAACACUGGACAUCUUCUCCAUCUAUUCGUGCACGUAACGCGUACGACUCGACGUGACGUCAUUCACAUUUAUAUCCGAAUCAUGUGUGGUCGUCAAGUCUGCUCCGAGGGCACACAUGGGACGACGCCACGCAUGCACGCACGCACACAAACACGAGCAAACACAUGCACAUGCACAUCAAAUCAUCGAGUGAAACCUACAGUGGACGCCGUGACGUCGAUGACGGUGUGCACAUUUUAGGGGCGGGCAAAAGGACUGACGUCACAGCCGAAAAGCGCUGGCACCUGACUGGCCGCGCCCGCCCCACUUUUUUUUCGCCCUAAUGAGGGCAGCGCGUGCCUCGAAUACUACCAGACACGCACCAGGCACGCUCCCGCGACAGUGUGUGAGUGCGUGUGCGUUCUCGACACGUUCACGCAUAGUAAACAAACCUAAUACACAUCAAUCCAUUUGAAAGCUCCCCGUGAAGACGCGGGUGCACGCCGCAUCAGGAAGCGCGAAGGCAAAAUGUAGGCAUAUUCCAUCGCGCGCCAUCUGCCCAUUGACCCCCCGACGGUUGCCCAUCCUACCCCCCGACGGUUGCCCAUCCUACCCCCCGACGGUUGCCCAUCCUACCCCCCACCCCUCUCGCCACGCGCCCUUUUGUUCGCGUGUGAGCAAGUGGCUCGCGUGAAGGAAGGUGUCAACUCCACCAAGGCAAGCGGCGUCCAUGCGUACGUGUGAAGGCCUCGUGUCGCUUUGAGGAAGGGCGUGCGGGAGGGUUAGGGAGCUUGGCCCGCCCCGCCCCCCUUAUUCCCACCUUUUCCUCCCGGCGGGGUGCCGUGGGAACGUCUGCUGAGGUGCGACCACGCGUGAGGAGUCAUAAAUGUCAGGUGCCAAAUCGACACCCGCACGCGCACCGCAUGCAUGCAAGGGAUCACCAAACGCACGGCAAUCCUUUUUUGGUGGGUCAUCUUGUCUGUCAAUCAAGAGCAGGCGAAGAAAGACAGCAAGCGCUGGUGAACUUGUCAACUCAACGAAGUGUUGACAUUACGACGCGAGGCUGGUGCGCGGUCGGCAUCAGUGCAUGGCCAUUGAAAUGUAAACGCGCGCCAAACUUGACACCUAGCUCAUUUGGCUCGAUUCAAAUUCAAGCAUCAAAUGGGCUGAAAGCGCAAGUAGUAGGUCAUCUUGCAGCGCAAACUUAACACUUGAUUUGCUCCAAUGCACAACGAAGUAGAGCCAAAUGGGACCAAAUGGUGAUACCUUACUUGCCUUGCCAGUGAGGAGGACGACGACGGAGAAGGAGGCGAAGAGAGAGGAGAGCGGGAUGCGUGUCGCGAGGGAAGCAACCCUGCUUGCUGCCGUCGCCGCCGCCGCCGCCGCCGCCGCCGAGGGAGCCCAACGCAUGCGUGCUCGGGGGCGUGCCUGUGUGGGACAAGGACGAACGACGCGCGCCGCUGAAAGGACAAAAGAACGGGACUUGGACUUUUGCAAACGGGCUUGACAUCACAUUGAGUUGAGCACCCGAAGAUGUUGGGUUUGGAAAAUAGCAAAACCAUUUGAAAGACUCAAGCAAAUUGCUAAGUGUGAAAGCGUGUAUAGGUGUCACUUUUUUUUCUGUCGCUACAGUUUGUCACCAGCAUGACAAGUGUGUGCGUGUGGGAGGGAGGGAAGUAGGGGGGUCAAAUGGUCCUCAGUCAUAAAGCACAUGCCAGUGUUCCCGUGUUCACACGCUUAACACGCACCAAGGAUCACAAUCAAGUGGCAGCGAGGCUUCUCUUCAAAACUUGGGAAAAGCUCCAAAUGGCUUCAACUGCUCGUCGAGCCGAGAAUGAGCUUUGAAAUGUCCGCCGCCGCACGCGUUCUCACGCAGCAAUUGGGAUGCUCAGUGAGAAUCUUGACGCCCCCGGCUGGAGAACAGGCCAUGCAAACGUGUCGACUCCAGAAAGGUCUGCACGUCAACGAGUUUGCCAUUGAAAAAGGAUGAUUGGCGGCUGGCCGGCUGCACACCUGCGUCCAUUUCCUUUGGACACGAAAAAAACAACGUGACGCUCCUUGUCCAACAAAGCCAUGUCGUGACAUCAUCGCUUACGAGCUGAACGCAGCCAGAUGAUCAAAGCGCUUCGACAUUCUUUUGCCUUUAACAACAUUCUAGCGCCUUUUAACGACAUUCUUCGCACCAAACUACACGGCUGUAAAAGAAGCACAAGCGCAACUCCUACGGUGCCGCCGCGCGAGAAUAGCGGCUGACCAAAAAACUUUACAACCCGGAGAGCCAGCGGGACGUACGCACGCACUCACGCACUCACGCCUUGGCUCCCGCGGGAUUCCGGGUCAUCCGGCCCGCCCGCCGCAAAUCUGCAACGCCUUGUGCCACUGCAAAUUGAGAACAGAAGGGAGCCAAUGACCAUGAAUUGGAACACAUUGGGACAAAAGAAGAUUCAGCAAAUGUGGACAUGAGGCUUCUGGCCAGACUUGACCAGAUGAGGACAUCAAAAGUUGCCACGCAAAAAAAAGGACCUUGGAAUUUGAGACUCACUGUCUUUUUAAAUGGAUGUCAUGAACAAAGUACAAAUAAGUGACAGAAACUAAGCGGACGCACCAAGAUGAUGCGGUGCACAAAGUUCAUAAAUAAUAAGAAUUAAAAAAAAGAGUGACGACAGACA